UACGAAGGGGGCUAGCGUUGUUCGGAAUUACUGGGCGUAAAGCGUGCGCAGGCGGUUUUGUAAGCCAGAUGUGAAAUCCCCGGGCUUAACCUGGGAAUGGCAUUUGGGACUGCAAGGCUGGAGUGUGGCAGAGGGGACUGGGAAUACUUGGUGUAGCAGUGAAAUGCGUAGAUAUCAAGUGGAACACCAGUGGCGAAGGCGAGUCCCUGGACAACUCCGUGACACUGAGGCACGAAAGCUAGGGGAGCAAACAGG
rnacentral:rRNA from 1 species